GACGAACGCUGGCGGCGUGCCUAAUACAUGCAAGUCGAACGCAUAGUCUUUGACCGUGGCUUGCUACACCGAGAGAAAAUGAGGGGCGAAAGGGGGGGAAACACGUCGUUAACCUGCCCAACAGCGGGGGAAAACAGGUGGAAACAGGUGAUAAUAUCGCAUAAUUCCAUGUACCGCAGGGUAGAUCGAUGAAAGGGGCUUUUGCGGCAGUGAUGGAGGGACCUGCGGGGGAUUAGGUAGUUGGUGGGGUUACGGGCUACCAAGGCUGCGAUGCAUAGCCGCACUGCGAGGGUGGUCAGCCGCCCUGGGACUGUGACACGGCCCAGACUCCUUCGGGAAGCAGCAGGAGGGAAUCUUCGGGCAUCGGCGCAAGUCUUACCGCGACACGCCGCGGGCGCAGAGAAGGUUUUCGGGUCCUAAAACUCUGUUGUUAGGUAAUAAACAGGAUGCGAGUGGAAAGUUCAUCCCUUGACGGUAUCUAAUCAGAAAGCCACGGCUAACUACGUG
rnacentral:rRNA from 1 species